rnacentral:rRNA from 1 species
GUGAACGCUGGCGGUAGGCCUAACACAUGCAAGUCGAACGGCAGCACAGUAAGAGCUUGCUCUUACGGGUGGCGAGUGGCGGACGGGUGAGGAAUACAUCGGAAUCUACUUUUUCGUGGGGGAUAACGUAGGGAAACUUACGCUAAUACCGCAUACGACCUACGGGUGAAAGCAGGGGAUCUUCGGACCUUGCGCGAUUGCAUGAGCCGAUGUCGGAUUAGCUAGGUGGCGGGGUAAAGGCCCACCAAGGCGACGAUGCGUAGCUGGUCUGAGAGGAUGAUCAGCCACAAUGGAACUGAGACACGGUACAGACUCCUGCGGGAGGCAGAAGUGGGGAAUAUUGGACAAUGGGCGCAAGCCUGAUGCAGCCAUACCGCGUGAGUGAAGAAGGCCUUCUGAUUGUAAAGCUCUUUUGUUAGGAAAGAAAAGAUGUGGAUGAAUAUACGGCUGUUCUGACGGUACCUAAAAAGAAAGCAACGGCUAACUACGUG